CAACUCGACUGCACGAAGCUGGAAUCGCUAGUAAUCGCGGAUCAGCACGCCGCGGUGAAUACGUUCCGGGCCUUGUACACACCGCCCGUCACACCAUGGAAGUCUGCAAUGCCCGAAGCCGGUGGCCUAACCACUUAUGUGGAAGGAGCCGUCUAAGGCAGGGCAGAUGACUGGGGUGAAGUCGUAACAAGGUACC
rnacentral:rRNA from 1 species